rnacentral:rRNA from 1 species
UACGAAGGGGGCUAGCGUUGCUCGGAAUGACUGGGCGUAAAGGGCGCGUAGGCGGUGCGGUAAGUCUAUGGUGAAAUCUCCGGGCUCAACUCGGAGCCUGCCACGGAAACUGCCGUGCUUGAGUGUGGGAGAGGUGAGUGGAAUUCCCGGUGUAGCGGUGAAAUGCAUAGAUAUCGGGAGGAACACCUGUGGCGAAAGCGGCUCACUGGACCACAACUGACGCUGAGGCGCGAAAGCUAGGGGAGCAAACAGG